AACCAAGUGAUGAAGUGAAUCAUCCCGUGGUGAAGUGGUGAUGCAAGGCUCCACAAUUUCCUAAAGCCUAGACCUAAUCACUUGAGUACCACUUAUGAUUAUUUAGCUCCAGUCCAGAAAGAAAAGUAGUAUAAAACUAUAAAUAACUCCACAUCAAUACUGGACAAGUAACACCACUUUAAACGAAGUAAUGGUUAUUAGUUAUACAACACAACUGAGUGUUUUGUUGUUUUGAUGUAUGAAUGUAUUUAGUUUGGUACAACUGGAGACACCUAUUCCUUGGACCUAGAUAACUGACAUUAAAAACUUUCUGGUAUGAUCUUCCUUAGAAAAUAGAUUUUGAAAAGCCAGUAAUCCUUAUCUGGUUCUCCUACUGUAAUCUACUACGAACUAAAUUCGCACUUCACCCAAAACACAACUGAGUGUUUUGUUGUUUUGAUGUAUAAAUGUAUCCAGUAGUUUGGUACAACUGGAGACACCUAUUCCUUGGACCUAGAUAACUGACAUUAAAAACUUUCUAGUAUGAUCUUCUCUAGAAAAUAGAUUUUGAAAAGCCAAUAACCAUCAUCUGGUUCUCCAACUGUAAUCUACUACGAACUAAAUUCGCACCUCACCCAAAACACCACUUCAACCACCAAAUCAUUGAAAUUCACACUCCACUUCAACCACCAAAUCGAAGGCAACUCAUAAAUUACAAUUUAAGAAACGAGAGAACUUUGAGAAAUUACCUGAAAUGGAAAUGGGUCUCUCAUCUUUCUCCCUUCUCUCUCUCACUCUCAACAAUAUUGUCUUUCCGUGGCAGCAAAACCAAUUAAUCCAAGGCAACAGAACUAAUAAAUCCAAUCCAAAGCAUGAAUUUUCUCCCUUCUUUUAGGCAUCAACUGUUACUUUAACAGUAAUAACAUGAGCUUUCAAUGCAACAUAUUCUCUCAGGCAACGUAAUCAUGAACUGUGCAUGACAAAUUAUUCGAAGGCAACUCAUAAAUCGAAGGCUACGUAUUAAUCGAAGUCAACUCAUAAAUCCAAGGCAACGCAUAAAUGGAAGACUAUCAUAUUAUUCGGUGGCAACUCAUAAAUUAAAGGCAACAUAAUAAUCGAAGGCAACUCCAAUAUUACAAUUCAAGAAACGGGAGAACUUUGAGAAAUUACCUGAAAUGGAAAUGGGUCUCUCAUCUAUCUCCUUUCCCUUUCUCUCACUCUCUCAAUGUACAAUUUUAUCUAUCUGAGGCAACAUAACCAAUUAAUCCACUGCAACAGAACUAAUGAAUCCAAUUCAAGGUAAUUAACAAAACCAAUGAAUCCAAUUCAAAUCAUGAACUUUCUUUAUUCUUUUAGGGAUCAACAGUUACUUUAACAAUAAAAGUAUGAACUUUAAAGCAACAAAAUCAUGAGCUGCACACCACCAAUUAUUCAAAGGCAAUUCAUUAAAUCAAAGGUAACAUACUAAUCGAAGACAACUCAUAAAUCCAAGGCAAAUCAUAAAUGGAAGGCUGCAUACUAAUCGAAGGCAACUCAUAAAUUAAAGACAACAUAUUAAUUGAAGGAAACUCAUAAAUUACGAUUUAAGAAACAGAAGAACUUUCAGAAAUUACCUGAAAUCUCUCUCUCUCUCUCUCUCUCUCUGUCUCUGUCUCUGUCUCUCUCUCUCUCUCUCUCUCCCGAAAAUAUUGUCUUAUCGAGGAAACAAAACCAAUUAAUCCAAGGCAAACCAAUGAAUCCAAUGU
rnacentral:lncRNA from 1 species